UCGGGGGCUCCCGGCAGGCAUCGCGCGGGGCAGCCCGGGUCCUGCCGCCCCUGCCUCACCUCAGUGAGGCGGUUGUGGGGCGGCAGGGAGGCGUCCCGUGUAUAAAUAACUCUUUUCAGGGGUGCCCAGUGACAGGACGAGAGGCAACGGGCACGAAGCGAAGCGCGGGAGGUCCCGGCUCAGCGUGAGGGGGCACUUCUGCGGUGUGAGAAACGAUGCGGCAAUUACUCUAUGGUGGGAAGUCACAGUCUUCAUCCUGCUCUGUUCUGGUUACCGUCAGUUCUGUGCCAGGUACGAGCGAGAACGCUCUUUGUGCUUUGAAGUGACUACUGGAGUGCAGGCCCCUUCGCAGGCGUAGCUCCUUGCCAGGUGGAGACUUUCCUCCGUGUUCCUGUUAGCGAAGAACCUGAGCCCCGGCCAGGUUUGAGGGCAGUUACAGCACAGUCA
rnacentral:lncRNA from 1 species